CGCGCGCAGGUGGUUCUUUAAGUCUGAUGUGAAAGCCCACGGCUCAACCGUGGAGGGUCAUUGGAAACUGGGGAACUUGAGUGCAGAAGAGGAAAGUGGAAUUCCACGUGUAGCGGUGAAAUGCGUAGAGAUGUGGAGGAACACCAGUGGCGAAGGCGACUUUCUGGUCUGUAACUGACACUGAGGCGCGAAAGCGUGGGGAGCGAACAGGAUUAGAUACCCUGGUAGUCCACGCCGUAAACGAUGAGUGCUAAGUGUUAGAGGGUUUCCGCCCUUUAGUGCUGCAGCUAACGCAUUAAGCACUCCGCCUGGGGAGUACGGCCGCAAGGCUGAAACUCAAAGGAAUUGACGGGGGCCCGCACAAGCGGUGGAGCAUGUGGUUUUAUUCGAAGCAACGCGAAGAACCUUACCAGGUCUUGACAUCCUCUGACAACCCUAGAGAUAGGGCUUUCCCCUUCGGGGGACAGAGUGACAGGUGGUGCAUGGUUGUCGUCAGCUCGUGUCGUGAGAUGUUGGGUUAAGUCCCGCAACGAGCGCAACCCUUGAUCUUAGUUGCCAGCAUUCAGUUGGGCACUCUAAGGUGACUGCCGGUGACAAACCGGAGGAAGGUGGGGAUGACGUCAAAUCAUCAUGCCCCUUAUGACCUGGGCUACACACGUGCUACAAUGGAUGGUACAAAGAGCCCGCAAACCCGCGAGGGCAAGCUAAUCUCAUAAAGCCAUUCUCAGUUCGGAUUGCAGGCUGCAACUCGCCUGCAUGAAGCCNGAAUCGCUAGUAAUCGCGGAUCAGCAUGCCGCGGUGAAUACGUUCCCGGGCCUUGUACACACCGCCCGUCACACCACGAGAGUUUGUAACACCCGAAGUCGGUGAGGUAACCCUUUUG
rnacentral:rRNA from 1 species